CCUACGGGUGGGCAGCAGUGAGGAAUAUUGGUCAAUGGGCGCGAGCCUGAACCAGCCAAGUCGCGUGAGGGAUGAAGGUUCUAUGGAUCGUAAACCUCUUUUAUAAGGGAAUAAAGUGUGGGACGUGUCCUAUUUUGUAUGUACCUUAUGAAUAAGGAUCGGCUAACUCAGUGCCAGCAGCCGCGGUAAUACGGAGGAUCCGAGCGUUAUCCGGAUUGAUUGGGUUUAAAGGGUGCGUAGGAGGCCUUUUAAGUCAGCGGUGAAAGUCUGUGGCUCAACCAGAGAAUUGCCGUUGAAACUGGGGGGCUUGAGUAUGUUUGAGGCAGGCGGAAUGCGGGGUGUAGCGGUGAAAUGCUUAGAUAUCACGCAGAACCCCGAUUGCGAAGGCAGCCUGCCAAGCCAUGACUGACGCUGAUGCACGAAAGCGUGGGGAUCAAACAGGAUUAGAUACCCUGGUAGUC
rnacentral:rRNA from 1 species